ACUAAAUAAUUAUUUUAAAAAUACUCAAGAAGGGGCUGGAACCAAUGGGGAGAAUGGCUGUCCUUUUGGGGCUGGGCAGCCUGCUCUUCUCGCACCUGUUCUGGGUGCAGGAAUCCCAGUCGUGUGAAGUCUUCCUUUUGUGUAAAUUGACACAUGUGAAGACGUAAGGCAGCUCCCAGGACAGAGACAGUACCUUUAGGAAAAGACAGGAUCAGAAACCUGAGGUACACUUGGUUCUAAUUCCAUGCAGUUCUUUGAUAGUCACUCUUGUUCUGUCGCUGUUCGGUACAGAGGGAGCCCGCAUCGGAAAGUAACACGGAGCAGGGGACGCACAGUGCAGACCACAAAGGAAAAGGAGGGGGUUCAUUUUGAGAGUUGGCCACAAAAAGGAAAUUGAUUUGCUCCAAAUUGAUAGGAACUCAAAUGAUCAAACAAUCCAAGAGGGCCUCCCCACUUCCAGACCUGAGAAGCGGUCACUCGGUGUGGGGAAUCGCCUGGGUGCGAAGAUCAAUAGAGACAUCUUCCCAGUAGCUUGCACAUGCUGGCUGGGGUUCCGGCUGGCCCAGAACCAUUGGAGAACCCUGUCUCUGGGUCACGUGAUCCCGAGUGCUGGGAAGUGGCUCUGGAGGGCAGGCCUGGGAUUCUGCCCGAAGCUUCCUUGAGUGGCCUUGCCAUCUGCUCAGGGUUUGGCCCUAGUGUGAAAUCCUGCCAUUGUGCCUGGCCACAUGACAGCUAACAAAGCCUUAACCCAGCUCUUUUGGGUAACCCCGGUUCUUAGAACAAUGAUUUUCGAGCUCUCCUCUCCUGCCACCUGUCCCUGAGAAAUGCUCCAGGUUCCACAAGGGCCCACUUAGCCUAGCUCAUUCCAAUCCGAACAGGCAUUUGAGUACCAGCUGUACCAUGCAAACAAGCAGGCUAACAUGACGGACGUGCCAGUCUGUGAGGUUGGUAACACUGGUGGCGAGUAUACUGGGCCAUUUGUUCUGUGAAACUGGCAAGGAAAAAAUCUUGCUGCCUGAGAAGGCAGUAAAUUCAUCCCGACAGUACACAUUCAAGUCUUGAGAAGACCGCCACAUCGUUCUGGUGCGCGUCUUACAGAGUCGAAGAGGCAAGUAACUGGGACUUAACACAUCAACUCCGUUCACAGGAGGUGAGGGAGGAACGUGCUCGUACGACACAAAUGAAGGAUGGGAAUGAAGACACGGAAUAUGCCCCAGCAGCUGGUGAUUCAGCUGGGCUGUGGUCCAGAAGGGCAGUGGUAGAGGCAAGUGGCCAUUUCACUGUCCAUCAUACUCCCCUACCAGCCCUGCGUGGGACCCACUGGGACGCUAAUGCCACCCUGCCAUUCUCCCGUCAUGGCCAACUCAAGACCUCGAACCACCUUUUGGAAAUUAUUGAUAGUUACGGGCUUAGACUGGGAUGGCAGACAAAAUGUCCCUCCCAUGCCGAUUUUCAGUCAGGCGGUCAUCACUGCUACAAGUCCUGUGCUAAGGAGCUCCAGCUCCAUCAGCAGGAGGGAAUCUGGCGCUCUCAAAACCACGUGAGCAAGAACUGAACGAACUGAAAAGUCAGUGUUGAAUGUUGGACCAAAAGAAGACGGAGCAUUUCUAUUCCGAGGAGUAAUAAGCCAGAGAUCUGCGGUACAGUGAUCUGAAAUCGAAGGAUGAAAAAUAUACCUUCCGAAGUCCUUGUCGAGCCCUAUGACCUUUGAAUUGACUAAGCCUCGUCCUUAAACUUCUUAUUAUGGGAUGACACAAUAGUUUGGCAUUUUGUCAUGCCAUAUAUAUGCACCUAUAUAUUUUUUUCUUUGCUUUUGUAAAUCUUUCUGCUACUCCCAACUAGAAGAAAAGAGGUUGACUUUGUGGGUUUUGGCAGGAAGGAGACUAAAUACUAUGAUGUCAGUUUUUGAAACCAACCCAUGAGCCCCCUGCAGAAACUCUAGAUCUGUUCCUCUUAGGACAUCAAAUAAUUCUCUUUUUGCUUCUAAGGUAGUCCCAUGAUUUUAUUUCUUAAGAAAUGAGAAAUUUUACAGCUUCUGAACUAUUUGUCCAUCCACUCGGUCAUCUGCCCAUGCAGGAGCUUCCACGAUCAAGUCGAAAUCACAAUGUAUACACUGGGCUUCAGGGCAGAACGCACAUCCUCAGAUGAUUGUGGUCGUACACAGACACUUAGGGAGUAACAACUAAGAUGAACACCAGGGAGCUCCCAAAUGGCAGUUCCAUUUUCAUUCCUUCAUUAAAAUCAUAAAGCCCAUAAAACUCAUGGUUAGCAAUAAACACAAUCAUUGUGCUACAUCGUAAACCACACCUUCUGAUCAACAGAAAAUGAGAAUGGUAAUAUUAUAAAAUAAAAAUAACAAUAAUGCCAUAACUUAAGAUCGUUCAUGUAGUCCAGCUACAGAAUUUAUACAAAAUGGAUAAUUUAAUGCAAACAAUACUGCUUUAUGGAUAAGUUAAACAUUUUCCUUCAUUCUACCUAAGAGCCAUAAAUUAAAGACACUAAAUUUUAAAUCAACGUAGCAACAUAAAAUGUAAACAACUGGAGGGAUCAAACAAGCAAAAGGAACUGCUCUGAAUUCCCUCCUGUCUUUCCUUUUUGGCUGAUGCAAUCAGUAAAACCCAGCAGAGGGAAAAUAUUUUCGUCUGCACUGGAAAUAGUUUAAUACCUGUAUGUGUAGGUCUUUCAUAACAUCCACCAUGAAGCAGUGCCAGAGUCUAGCCAGUCUAGAUGGACUAUUUGACAGUAACCUCUCUCAAGACAGAGACAGGAACUAAGUCAACAUUUGUCUGUAUAUAAAAUGCUAGAUAAAAACUCUUAAAGCCAAGGUACCACGAAUACCCUGGGUGCUGUUCAGAGCCCAUAACUCUGGAGACAGGACAGAAGGCCUGCUUUUGACGAUGUAAACUCUUCCCAAUCCCUGCUCAGCACCAGCUCUUUCCACACAUUUUCAAAUCCAAUGAUUCAAACUGCAUUGAUUUGGGGUAAAGUAAAACACAUUUCGCAAGUAGCAUUUAACAAACAUGUUAUGUGGUGAAAGAGGAGUUGCCUUUUGCAAGCUGCUAAUCUUGUUUUUAUUCUGACAGUGGUAGCCAGUCAACAAAGCUUCCAGGAUAGAACGAGUUAAUGGAUGAAAUCAAAGGAAUGGUUUGAGAUUCAACACUGGACAUACACACACACACACACACACACACACACGCGCACGCACAUCCUAGCUGCCUUCAAAGUCUGUCCCCGUUUGAAUCAAUGUGACUCUAGUAGACAAGCAACCUGGUUCCAGAGGAGUGGUUCCAUCUUCCUGUGCAGCUGAGCGGAGCCAUCCUGAGAGUGUGCUUGACAAACCCCACACUCGCUCUCCUAACACUGUGGUAGGUGCUCUUUUCCUCUUACCCUUCCUCCUCCUCAGCACCCCUCCCACCCUUUCCUUCCUAAAGGAAGUGGUCAACAGGUGGAAAGGAAAAUAAGCCACAAGAAAAUGGCACUUGAGUCUGAAAUAUCAACACAUUGGUCAAAGGAACACAUUUGUCAAGGUACUGACAAUGAUAGCAUUAAAAAGGGAAGUUUUGUCAAUGACGAGGUUUGAUGCUAUCUGUAGGCUUCACUACCAAAUGCUGCUUAAAAUUUUAAAAAUGAAGUCAACGUUCAUGUAUACAGUUUUUUUUUUCCUCCUAGAGGAAGCGCUUGCCCUCAGAGACUG